rnacentral:rRNA from 1 species
AAAUUGAAGAGUUUGAUCAUGGCUCAGAUUGAACGCUGGCGGCAGGCCUAACACAUGCAAGUCGAACGGUAACAGGAAGAAGCUUGCUUCUUUGCUGACGAGUGGCGGACGGGUGAGUAAUGUCUGGGAAACUGCCCGAUGGAGGGGGAUAACUACUGGAAACGGUAGCUAAUACCGCAUAACGUCGCAAGACCAAAGAGGGGGACCUUCGGGCCUCUUGCCAUCGGAUGUGCCCAGAUGGGAUUAGCUUGUUGGUGAGGUAACGGCUCACCAAGGCGACGAUCCCUAGCUGGUCUGAGAGGAUGACCAGCCACACUGGAACUGAGACACGGUCCAGACUCCUACGGGAGGCAGCAGUGGGGAAUAUUGCACAAUGGGCGCAAGCCUGAUGCAGCCAUGCCGCGUGUAUGAAGAAGGCCUUCGGGUU